CUAGUGGAUGCAGGAGCUUCUGGGUCUGUCAGAUGUAGUAGAGGAGGAGACAAAUACCCAGUGGACCCCAGGUAAGAAGUCAGACACUUCUAAAAUGGUUUGACUACUUAAACCCUUAAGGACCAAACUUCUGGAAUAAAAGGGAAUCAUGACAUGUCACACAUGUCAUGUGUCCUUAAGGGGUUAAACCACAAAGUGCCAUAACCAUUAUUAAAGACAUAAA